CCUUUGCAUAAUGGUUAAAUUAUAAGUAAUAAAUUUUUUAAAACCCGAAAUAAGAAGAUUUAAAUUUUAUAAUAUUUUAGUAUUUAAUUUUAAUAUAACAAAUAUUAAUAAAUAAUUAAGUUUAGGGGUGAAAUGCUUUCAAUUCUUAUGAUAUCUGGAUUUUAAUUAAAUGCAUUUAGUGCAGGCUGAGCUGAAUUUAAAAGUGUUAAGAAUUUUAAAGAUGAAUAAUUUUUAUUUUUUUAAUUGAUUUGAUUAAUCUCUUGAUUAAUUUUAUAAAUAAAAAUUAAAAUAAAUUUCUUUUUCAAAAGUAAUUAAUAAUAAUUAAUAAUAUUUUUAUUUAUUAUUAAUGUUUAAAUUAGUAGUAAUUUUAAUUAAAUCUUUUUAAGGAACUCGGCAAAUAUAUUACUUAACUGUUUAACAAAAACAUAGCUUCUUGUUUUAUAUUUUAAGUGAGUCCUGCCCAGUGAAAUUUUUUAACGGCCGCGGUACCUUGACUGUGCUAAGGUAGCAUAAUAAAUUGGCUUUUAAAUGAAGUCUUGAAUCAAUGGGUUUAUUAGGUAAGAGCUGUCUUUUAAGGAUUUUUACUAAUUUACUUAAAAGGUGAAAAUUCCUUUAUUUACUUUUUUUAGACAAGAAGACCCUUAGAGUUUUUUAAUAAAAAAUUAAUAAUUUUAAUUUUUUUGUUGGGGCGACACAGUAACAGGAAACUUACUAUGUUUUAUUUGUCGAAUUUUUUAAGAAAAAUUAAACUACCUAAGGGAUAACAGCAUAAUUAUAUUUUUGAUUGUGACCUCGAUGUUGGAUUAGGAAGUAUUAUGGCUAGACGUUAUUUUAUUUAGUUCUGUUCGAACAUAAAAAUCCUAC
rnacentral:rRNA from 1 species